CCUUAAACAAAACAUGAAAUCCCAAUGACUGGAACAGAUACCUGGUAUGUCAGUUAAUUCUUAAUUAUCAUUCUACCCCCUGUUAAUAUGAGUGGACCGGCUCCUCAACAGGCAAUGGGGGGUUGAGGUAUUUUUUAAGGAUUAUUUCAAUUACCUGUCUUAAAUUCACAUUCAGAUCAGAAAUUGAAACUUUUUGAAAACAGGUAAACUUUUUAGAAUUAAAUAAUUUUUUGCGUGUUUGCUUCUGAGCCAAUUAGGUCAUUUGGGUGCCAUGUGCCCUCAGUUUUAACCCUACAUGUUUUCCUUGCAGGGCUGUCACUAGGGGCACCUCCAUGAAAUAGUAGAGUACUGCAAAUUUAGUCAGAUGGUUUUAGAGAGCAGUUUGACGUUUUUGCCGUGCAUGUGUAGUAGCCUAUGGAAACACAUUGGAUUGACUGAGAUCAUCAAUGUUGAUCAAUAAUGACAAUUAGCAAAAAGAAUUGUAGCAUUCUGGGUGCAUUGGUUUGAAAAAACCCAGCGCAACCUUAUAUGUAUUGUAGAGCACAACCGAAUGAUAACGAAUAAUAUUACACAAGGGUCCCCUAUAUAUUACGGAGACUUAGGAAUUGCAAUGAAAAGUCCUGUAAUAGGAUUCAUGCAUUUUUUAGAGAGUAUUAAAAAUCUCACAUCUAUCUGAAUUCUAUGCUAUAUUAUGGAGAUGCACAAUUUGCAAGGCUCGUUUGAUAAAUUACUUCUAUAUGGUAAGACGAGAUUGGUUACCUUAGAGAAACUACUGAGGAGGGCUGUACAAGAAAUGAUGUGGUUGCUGACUGACUGUCUCCCUGAGGUCAGUGCAAUACCAAAGUAUUCCUUGAUGAUCUGACACAGGUUCAGAGACAGGGAACGUUUGUCCCUGCAGAGCUCUAGUCUUACCCCCGAUUUUAGGAACAUAGGAACAGAUCAGAAACCCAGGCCACUUUGAUGAUGGUGGAUAAACAAAAAAUAGAUGAAGAAUUCUUGUCACUUCGGGAAUGCCAUUUAAAGGAUGACUAUAGGGUCCCCCCGACCACUUCAGCUCAAUGAAGUGGUCUGGGUGUCAGGUCCAUCUAGGGUUAACCCUGCAGCUGUAGGAGAGUCCCCAGCACUGAGGGAGCCCGGUGCUGGAGAAAGGUAAGUGUUUAACCCCUUGAUCUAGAUCAUUGCUGGAACUUCCUUGAAGCCUAGUUGGGACUGUACCAUGAGUGCCAAAACAUUAUGGUUUAGUAGUGUCUACAGUUUGGUCAUCUCCUGGAUCUACAGUGAGGAAGAAGGGAUCUGUUCUGUUGGCUGCACAGAUCUGUCUUCUUUCUCAUUAAAAAACUGCAGAAAUGGCUGCAAUGAAUGGCAGGGAGCCAAGAUGGAGGAACUAAAUUCCAGGAAAAAAAAAACCAAAUACAGCAAAAAAAUAUUUACAUUUUUUAGAUCUCACAAAAACAUUUUAAAGAUUGACAAAGGUAAACAUAAUGUUAAACAUCCCAGUAUGGGACUAUUUCCCUUUAACAAGCCCUGUAUUAUGUGGAAUUUAGACGUGUGCAAUUUGUUUCGUUCCGAAUGCAAAUUCUGACAAAUUCCAGAAAUUCGGACGCUUCCGAAUGUCUGAAGUGCUGAAUUUCGGAAUGCCGAUCCGAACCAAAUUUAUGAAUUUCGGAAUGCUGAACCGAAUUGCUGAAGUGCCGAAUAGCCGAAAGUGCUGAAUUGCUUCAGAUUUCUAAAAAGUGGCAAAAGAGGAGAGGGUUGGGGUUUGUGGUUGGGGUAGAGGUAGGGGUAGGGUUAAGUUUAGGGGUAGGGUUAAGGGUUGUGGCAGAGUUAGUGGUUGGGAUAGGGGUAAGGUUAGUGGUUGGAGUAGGGUGAGGGUAGGGGAAGGGUAACCCUAUUCCUAACCCUACUCCUAACCCUAACCCUGCUCCUAACCCUACCAUAACCCAACCUUAAACCAACCCUAACCCUACCCCAACCCCACCCCUAAACCAACCCUAACCUCACCCCUAACCCUACACUUACCCGAAGUGCCGAACCGAAGUGCAGAAGUCCCGAAGUGCUGAAGUCCAGAAUUUCGCAAUGCCGAACCGAACCGAAUAUUUUUCUCAUGUACAUCCCUAGUGGAAUUAACCAUUUAAUCCUUUUCUUUCAUCCAACCACCAGAAGGAGCAGGGAGAAGGAGCUUUCUCCUCCCUAUUCACUUAACUUUUAAUGGGACACUCUAGGCACUAUAACCACAUCAUCUCAUUGAAGUGGUCCCCUGGCUCCGUCACAUUGUGCAGAAAAAACUUUUUUUUAAAUUCUUUAUUUUUGCUGUGCAAAAGGGUUACAAAGAAUCUUGCAAUGCCACAACAGCAAGCACAAGAAAAUCAAUUAAUAGAGGAAUACAACAUACAUCAAACCAUAGACAUAAUAGAUCUGAAUGUUACUUGGCAUUGUGAUAGUGCAGCACAUAUUUUUGGUAAUGUAAACAUUAGGCUAGGUAGACAUGUCUAGGAAACAUAGCCAUAUCUAAGUAAAAAAUCACGAAUAACAGUCUAGACAAGGUGUUUACUAAGCACUUUUAAAUGUGUGAAGGAAAUGCUUGGUCAACUAUGCUUAUUAGAAAACAAGUGAAUAUAUCAUGCUAGCAGUAUAUAACUAGCUUAAUCACAGUACCCUGGAUGUGUAAGGAGUCUCCCUAGGUCAUUCGGCCUAUGCCACUUAGAGUCUAAAUUAGAUAGGACAACUCGGUACCGGACUCUGCUUCCAUCCCCUGCACCUUCCUCAUUCGGCCCAGGAAAAGGAGAGGACUGUGACGAUCCACCAGUGCUGUGUAUCUGGCAGCAUAUGGGGGAAAGCUCCGGUUCAGACCGGUCUCUCUGAGGGCGAGGGGGGCCAGAUCUCCGCAGUCGAUGUGAGUGCUGAUCUGGCAUGUGUAGGUGCUUUCCUCCCUUCUCCUCAGCUCUCCGUUUGUCUCCCGUGUGUGCACAGGAGCUGUAUAGCUGUGUAGCUUUCCAGCUCACCGCUUACCUGCUCGUUGCCUGUCUUGUUUUGCGGUGCGUGGAUGCAGCCUCCGCCAUCUCAGGUGUAGCGGGCCUCUGGCGAGUGCUGCUGGGCUGCUUGAUGUGUGACAGGCUGGUUGUGUGGGAGUCAUCACGGUCCUGUGUAUUAACUGCUUCGCCUUUAGCUUCUUCCAUAACGAAGAGGACGCUGGAGAGUAGUGGUCAUCACUCCUCCCUGGGUGAGGAUAUCUGCAGCGUCCGCCAUCUUAGGGAUACCUUUGAUGGUAGUGUUGGCUUCUGAAGUACUGCUGCUACGCGGUGGGUCAUGAGAGCCUUUUUGUUACUUUGGCUACUAGAUUGCUUGAGAGUGCUGUAGGGCAUAUUCCCCGAUCUCUCUGUCAUGUCGAAAGACUAAGAGUAAGUAUCAUGUUUAGAAAUAGUUGCUGAAUUAGGUCAGAAAUUCAGUGUGUCUCAGGGAGCUCCCCAGAAACACGUUUAGUCGCCAUGCUGGUCAGGCCCCGCCCCGGAGAAAACUAUUUUUUGAUAAUUUUGACACUAAAAGAGUUUCCAGGUUGCCAGAGUUCUGGCCAUCUCUGCUAUGAUGGGUGGUGAUGAUAGAUUCUUCAGAUGAGCAUUCUGAGCCUGCCACUGCCGCCCGUUACUGGUAUAAAUUGAUAUGGCUAAUGUGGAGUAAUACUUUAUCUUAGCCAUAACUCCAGUAGGUGGCACAGCCAUAGACACUCAAGAAACCAUCAUUCAUUAUCAAGCCAUAUGGGACCAGAUUGACUCUGAACAGUGGGAACAUGCCAGGGGAUCUGUAGGAUCCAAACCUGUUCAACUAGAUGAAGUGGUUAUGGUGUUAAGAUUGCACCUUUUAGGUAGAAACACUUAUUAUUGUUUAAAAAUGGCAAUUCAUUUAAUACAAAUAGUAGAGGAUAUCAAAGAGUACUUAAAAACAACGCAUAGACAUAACAAAAUAACUAACCCAUUAAUGCAAGCUGGGCAUCAGUAAGCAAUUCAUUAGAAAUCAGAUUGUGCCUGAAACCUCACUAUAAGUUUCAUUAGGUUCCCAUUCAUUUUUCACAUUCUUAUUUGUUUGUUUUUUUAAAAGGUGACCAUUUUCUUCGCGAAGGAAACAAUCUGCGCCAUAUGUAUCCAAUAGACAUAAUAUAAUUGUUUGCAUAUUUACAUCUAAAUCAAGCAAAAAGCAAAGAAAUCUUUAAAAAGGGAAAUUGAGAACAUGCCCCAUGUAUUUGCCACAGGGUCAAAACAAAAUAAGUAAAUAAAUAAAUAGGUUCCAUACAGAUCUCAUGUGUCUAUGUCUCUUAUGAAUGGGUAACAGCAAGCAAGCUCUAACCUUUCCUCUGUUUAUGAUGAGUUUGGGGUUAAUGUUCUGCCUGAUGUCCACAUUUCUUUGUUCUGUCGCCUCGAUAUUUAUACCGGAAUAAAAAAUGGUGGAACAGUCACCAUGGUGAUAGGGAAGGUCUUCCACAACGAGGAGUGCUAAUAUUUACACCAAAAUAGCCAAACUAAGAAAAUACCAUGGGAAUUUUUUUUAACUCAUUUACUUCAGUCUAAAAUGUUCAAUUCCUGAACAAUUUAGUGAAUAACUCUCUCAGUAAAGAGCAUGUUAGUGCCAGACAGUCAAUGGUGCCCCCCCGUGAUGACCAUGUCGGCAAAGGGGAGUGAUGUCAAUCAUGGGGGAUCGGACUUUAACGAGAACUUGGCCUUGUCGCUGGAUUGAUGUGAGUAUUUAGCUUCUUUUUUUUUUUUUAUUCGGUGGGUGGAGGUAGACCAGCAAGGGUUACUCUAACCAAAACCAGUGUUUUAUGAAAAAAAAAAAAAAAGGAAACAAUGGCUCAAUAAUAAAAUAAAAAAUGAUACAAAAAAUAAAUAAAAUAGGCAAAUCUUUGCCGGUGAAAACAAGCGUGUAGAAAGCAAAGGACAAUAAUUCAAAUAUUUUUUAAGAGGCAGGCCCCAUCUGGCUUAUUUUUACAGUAAAUAUAGACAAGGGAAUUUUUGUGAGGAAAUGUGUGCUACCAGAGAACUGCCUCCAUGCCUUCUACUAGUUAAAGUCUCAAAGAACGGAGGCAGUCAGAUGUUACAUUUACCCCCUGGACCUAGGACCUCUCGUUUUAAGAGAGAGAGAGAUGCAUGCACUAGAGAAAAGUGCACACCUCUCACGGAAUGACUGUGUUAGACCCCUUGUGAUGGUGUGUUUGACCUAAACAGCAUUGUGCAGCAGAUAGGAGGUAGAACGUAUCACAGGAAUUAAUAAGAAAUCCAAAUUGUAAGCCACAUUUACAGUCGCUUCCAUUGAUAAAUUCUUGCAGUAAAUAAAGCGACUGUCGGUUUUUUUGACCCAUAAAUAUGACCUCUGAUGGCUAGAGGAACUAACCAAAAGGAAGUGGAAGAGACUAACACCAGUCAUUCAUUCAACAACCUAUUUCCCUCCCUUUGGCUUGUACCCCAUCCAACAAAAUGGACUGGCAGAGUUCCAAAACAUGAUAACGGGGACUAACUAUGCCCGGAGGAAAUACUGAUAUAUGGAUUUACCUUCCCAAAGCCAACUACUCUAAGUGUAGCACUUAUGGCUGGAUGGAAAUUAAACCAGGGAUCAAAAGGACGUUUCUUGGCAUAGAGAAUUUAGGCUGGUGGAUUUUGUAAAGCCCAAAAUUAAUUCUUAAUUAUGUAUAGGUAUUGAUGUUUUUUUUUUUCUUCUUUGAGUCCAAUUUUUAUUGAUUUUUUCUUUUGCACAAACACUUAUAAGUAAAACAUUACAGUGGUAUCAAAAAACGUGUUGCGUUUUUUAAGUAUUUUGCUCAUUCAGACAAGGGAACUUACUACACUACAAAAAUUAAGUUGUUUUAUUUUUCCUCUGCAGCUCUGCCUUGUUCUCAGAAUUUUUCUCUUUGAUUCAUGGCAUGGGAUCGUGGAAAGUUCCGUAAAGCGCAGUGUUGUAUUGCAUAUGAAUAUAAGAAUUUGUGUUUAUGAAUGCGUGUGUAUAUGAAUGUGAGUAUGUGCAUGUAAUUUUACCUAACAAAAGGGGAUUCGAGGGGUGCAGAAUGAGACACAACUUUUUUUUUUUUUACAGUUUGGGGGUGGGGUGCCAAAAUGCAUUUCAAUCAUAUAACCUAGGUACGCCUCUUGUACAGCGCCACAACUUUCAAAAACUUCUGAAAUAAUCUACAGAGACAUAGACAACAACCAAGCAUAGAAAAUUCACUUCCACAAAAAAGUUGGAAAACUUUAUUUUACUUUAUUGUUACAUUAAAAAACAACAACAAACAUAUUUCACAACGGAGCUGUUGUGACAAAAAGGGGGAACUUUUUGGGCACAGAACCCCUUAAAUACUGGUUGCUGCAGACUCAUGAUUCUACGAUUGAUAGAAUUCUAAGUUUUAGCAAAUUGUCAGUGUGUCCCUGAAAUAGAAAUGGCAGCUGCCAAGUGACUUUUAAGACUCUAUAUCUUUUCCUAAGCACACGUUCCUUUGUUUUGUUUUUUUUUUGUUUCUUUUUUUUUUCCUUGAAAAUGUUUUGGGAAAGGCGUUAACCUCUUUCCGUGCCUCUAUUUUAGUUCCCUUUGUCCCCAAUAGGAUGAGUGCAGAGUAAAUGACACAACAGGAAAUAAGGAAGCUGUCUUCGGAAUCAGCAGACACUUCACCACGAUAUCCUCCACCUAGAACAUGGUCCGCACACGGAGCCUUGCCCGCACCGAGGAUAUGUGUGCAGUCUGGAGGCCUGGUGAAAGAUUUAGGAAGGGCAUCUGUAAUCACAAGGGGAGGGAAACUAAUUAUCUGAAUCAGUCUCAGAGGAAAGAGAGGAGCCCGAGGGUAAUAUUGGGGCGUUUUGCAAGAACAGUUCUGUUUGUUGAAAAGCUUGAAGAAAGUUAUAGAGUUGAUUGAAAAGGAAGCGUCAUGAGUAAAGGAUGCUUUUCCUUUUAGUUUCUGACAUAUAUAGAAACAUAGAAUGUGACGGCAGAUAAGAACCAUUUGGCCCAUCUAGUCUGCCCAAUUUUCUAAAUACUUUCAUUACUCCCUAGCCUUAUCUUAUAGUUAGGAUAGCCUUAUGCCUAUCCCACGCAUGCUUAAACUCCUUUACUGUGUUAACCUCUACCACUUCAGCUGGAAGGCUAUUCCAUGCAUCCACUACCCUCUCAGUAAAGUAAUACUUCCUGAUAUUAUUUUUAAGCCUUUGUCCCUCUAAUUUAAGACUAUGUUCUCUUGUUGUGGUAGUUUUUCUUCUUUUAAAUAUAGUCUCCUCCUUUACUGUGUUGAUUCCCUUUAUGUGCCCCCACCCUCAGGGUCCCCCUGCCGCCGGGCUGGAUGGAGAGGAAGGGGUAAACUUACCUCUUUCUCCAGCGCCGGGCGGGGAGCUCUGCUCCUCCUCUCCGCCCUCUCUCCUCAUCUUCGGCUGAAUGCGCAUGCACGACAAGAGCCGCGUGUGCAUUCAGCCAGUCCAUAGGAAAGCAUUCUGAAUGCUUUCCUAUGGACGCAAGCGUCUUCUCACUGUGAAAAUCACAGUGAGAAGCGCGGAAGCCCUCUAGCGGCUGUCAGUGAGACAGCCACUAGAGGCUGGAUUAACCCUAAUAUAAACAUAGCAGUUUCUCUGAAACUGCUAUGUUUACAGAAAAAAAGGUUAAUCCUAUCUGGACCUGGCACCCAGACCACUUCAUUAAGCUGAAGUGGUCUGGGUGCCUAUAGUGGUCCUUUAAAUGUUUCUAUCAUAUCCCCCCGUCUCGUCUUCCUCCAAGCUAUACAUGUUAAGUUCCUUUAACCUUUCCUGGUAAGUUUUAUCCUGCAAUCCAUGAACCAGUUUACUAGCCCUCCAUGAACCAGUUUAGUAGCCCAUGUCUAUGACUUUUUGUAACAGUGAAUAUAGUUCCAAAGUCACUUCUGUAACAACGUAACGAGGCCAAUGUGUCCACUGUAUAUAACAGGCCAUGAUUUUUUGGGCUUUGAUACUUGUUAAGAUGAUGAUUGAAAAACACAGUAAUUUAAUAUAUUUAAUGCCUCUUAUUGACCUCUUUCUGAAGAAAGAUCCUAGAGUCAAUAUGAAUCUGCUUUUCCGAGGACUCAAGCUGCUUUAUGCCUCUGAUAAUUGUUUUUAAAGCUCGUGUACAAUCUAGCUUCUACUCCCCUGAUCAAUUCUGUCCCAGAGUCACUGGAUGGUUUGUGUGACUCUUAUUGACAGUUACUCUGUGAAGCAGCUGCUUAUAAUAUGACUAAUUGGUGCUUAUUCCAUACUCAAUGAAAUCCUCUUCUGAGGCAAAAAUUAUAGAUUGGAGCAUUAAGUGCUCAGAGAUACAUAAAAAUCAAAUAAGUAUGGGAGAGUCUGCAUGCGCCAAAAAUGAAUAUUUUUAAUUGACAUUAUGUCUCUUAAUUGCGCCUUCUGAGUCUGCCAAAUACUCAAUGAAUUUAAAUGUUAAAUUGUAUUUUUCACUUUCUCGUUAUUCUUUUGGUAAUAGUUAUAAAUAAUUGCAAGCUUAGAUCCCUGAAAAUGUUAAACAACAGAGAAGCAAGUGUAGAAAGAACCCCCCCCACCCCCCCCCAAAAAAAAAUCAAAACAACAAACACAAACAAAACAACAAAAAGGAAGCACUGAUGGAAAUUUAAGAAUUCCUUUACAAAGUGUCAGUAUUUGUAAUUUUUCUCUUAAAUUCUUAAAAUGGAACAACAUAUAUUCUUAAAAGAAAAACAAAACCAAUUUAAAGUUCUCUAGUGGUUAAUACUGUUGGAUAAUGCACUGGCAAACAAACAUUACUUUAUUCUGCUGAGACUCAAAAAUGAAUAUAUUGUUGACCUAAAGGAUGAGAAUUUAAAAGAAUUGAAUCAUAAUUGCCAACCCUCACUAUUACCGUGGUCUCAUCUUAAACAGCCAUGUCUGUCUUAAUUUUGAAUAUCCCAAAGACGUGACAGGGAUGAGAACAUUAAAUAAGAAGAGAAAAAAAAUCUUGUGACAUAAUGAAACUUGUGAAAACGUGAUUACAUUUCAAACAGCAAAAAAUUGAUUUUCUGAACUAGUUUUCAGCUGACGCUUGAAUUCAGUGGCCUCAUAAAAACAUUUCUGCUUUUGAAAUAGAAUAAAGGUAUUCCUUAAAAGACUUGUGCGUUUGGUUUCAAACAAAUUAGAAUUAUAAUGGUCAUGAUAUCAUUUUUAUGGUAUUUUUUAUUAUAAAUAUAUUUUACAGUAUAUUGGUUGGUCCAUUUUCAUGACCUUUUGGUUUGUCCGAAUCGUUUGCCGUAACCAAAAUACCCUAUAAAUACAUUUUGGACGACCGGACUAUAUUUUUUUUCGGAUUAAUCAAUUCGGUCAAAACAGACUGAUGAUUUGCUGGUCCUGAAAUUACGUUUCAAGUUACGUUUAGUGGUUCUAAACAUUUUUAUGCAAAUAUUUUGCUGCUCUGCUCUACUUUUAUAAAUAGUCUAGUGGAAGUUUGAAAACAUGGGAUUUACAUUUUAAUACACGUGCCGUUUCUCCUGUUUAGAACGUGUAUUAUUCAGUAUGAUGAGUGCCAGUCUUUUCAGACACUUACUCUCCCUCGCCGGUUAACUCACUGACUGAUUCUUGUUUUUGCGUGGAUACAAUAUAUGAAGGAUUCCCAUACCAAAUGUUAGCAUUGUGCUUUUGUCAUUAGUAACUGAUGAAACAUCCAGUAUGCUUAAAGGGACACUAUAGGCACCCAGACCACUUCAGCUCAUUGAAGUGAUCUGGGUACAGUGCCCAUUUUGCCCUUAGUGCUGAAAUGGUUAACAUUGCAGUUCCAGAGAAACAGCAACGUUUACAUUGCAGCACUAAGUCUGCCUCCAGUUGCUGUCUUCCAGACAGCCACUGGGUGCGCUUCACGCUCUGCAUGAGGACAUCCAGAGUCAUCAAUUUCCCCAUAGCAAAGCAUUGAUUCAAUGCUUUCCUAGGGGGUGGGCAUAAUGCACGUGGCACUUGCACGGACAUCAGAGCUGGGAUCAGGUAAGUAAAUAAAGAAUUUUUAACCUUUUAUUCACCGCAGCUUGUGGGAGGGCGUGAGAGACGGGGGAGGCAGAGUGCCAUGAAUACAGCUUUGAAUUCCUGGCACUAGAGUAUUCCUUUAAUUUCCAAUUUUGCUUUCCCAUUACUCUUAAAAAACAACCUUUAUGCAUGAAUAAAAAAGGUUACUCAUAAGGAAAAAACAAAAAAAAUUCAGAUUCCUAAAAUACUUGCUAUCUUAUUAGCUCCACCCUUUGUGCCAGUAGGACCACAAUUAAACACAUAAAUUCAUUAAUUAAUAAAUCUACCCGGCUCUUUGCAAGAAGAGCCAAAAAUGUCAUAUCUCUAUCUUGGUUCCAACUUCCUAGAUGUUCCUGUGGAUCUCACAUUUUUAAUCCGUUCCAUUAACCUUAAAGGAACACUAUAGGGUCAGGAACACAAACAUGUAUUCCUGACCCUAUAGUGUUAAAACCACCAUCUAGCCACCCUGGUACCCUCGUGCCUCUAAAAAUAAAGUAAAAUCUUACUUGAAUUCAAGCCUGCAGCUGCAUAGUUUGUCCCGGUUUCCUUUAGACCUGCCCACUGCCUGCCGGCAUCAUCAGAGGAUUGGCUGAGACUGACAAAGAGGCAGAUCAGGGGCAGAGUCAGCACAAUUCAAACAAAGCCCUGGCCAAUCAGCAUCUCCUGAUCAGAUGAAUUCAAUCAAUGAAUCUCUAUGAGGAAAGUUCAGUGUCUGCAUGCAGAGGGAGGAGAUACUGAAUGUUUGGAUGCAUUUUAGGCAGCCAUGACCCAGGAAGGAUCUCUAACAGCCAUCUGAGGAGUAUCCAGUGAAGAUAUCACUAGGCUGUUUCUCUGAAAAGACAGUGUUUACAGCAAAAAGCCUGAAGGUAAUGAUUCUACUCACCAGAGCAAAUUCAAUUAGCUGUAGUUGUUCUGUUGACUGUAGUGUCCCAUUAAUAGAGUGAUGACUACAAGGGCCAUCUGUGAUCCCCAAAAUGAAGCCUUGGUUGUGUUAAUAGUGUUAAUAGUGUUAGUGUUGUGUUAAUACAUCUGCUGUGCAUAUCCUGUAUUUUAAGGUGACUACUACAGUAAGCAGGGGUUCUGAUGCUUCAAAAUGUUUUCAAACAUCCUAUGCUGUUAUCUCGUUUGACUUUCUGUUUUAACUUGGAAAAACCAACAGGAAAGUGGAGUAACAGCAUUUCCUAAGAAAAGUGACAAAUCUAUAUAUAAAGAAAUAAAAAUGUUUUUAUCGUUGCCAUAGUCUCUAUCAUAUGUCUAUACAAAAUAAACUCUAAUCUCUCAAAGUGGAACCUUGAGAAAAUAUCUUAAAGAGAAUCUGUAGUCCCGUAAAUAACAAUUAUAAUUUCGUGACUACAGUCUCCUUUCUUACAAUGUAAACAUUGUUAAACAUGUGUUAAACUUUAUCAUAUUCAUCAGUAUUGUCCCAGUCAGACCUGAGGAGGAGAGGAAAACUCUCAAAAGAUUUUUUUUAAAAUAUUAUGUUAGCCCAAUAAAAAGAAAGUAUCAUUUAAUACUGAAAUACUUAGCAUCAUGUUUUACUGGACUAAUACUCUAAUCUACAUUAAAAUAUUGUGUUCAUCUUUCUAUAAAUGCAGUAACUGGAAAUAUAAACAAAACAUUUAUCAUAGAAGUUAGUAGGUAAUGCCUUUUACUGUGACGUCAUCGGGAUUGUGUGACCUCACGAUGAUGCAGAAGACGUGAUCACUAAAAUACUACUGCGCAGUCACGAAUAAGUUAACACUGCCUGACUAUGCGUUAGCUAUGCGGUGAGGUAACUACACACAGGAUGCAGGCCGGAGGAAGAGAAAAUAAUACGGCUCUGAAAGCGAGCCAGAUCUGCUUGAAAAUGCAUUUCUCUCUCAUGCAAACUAUUUUACUUAGAAAGCAACAUGUGAAACUGAUCUGAAGUUUGCUCAGCGGCUGGAUAGAAGGUCAGUGUUAUCCUCUGCUCCAAGUGUGUGGGAGACUCUCUGGCUUCCUCUGACAUUCUAUGGAACGCUUUCAAAGAUUCGUCUGGAAGUUUUGGAAACCACUCCUAAAUCCUGAAGAACCUCUAUUAGAAGGAAGAAUGUCCUUGCAAGAGAACUGGUGGCAAUGACUGCUGCAGUUACAGCAGUUUUACAGUAACGCCUGCAAGGUUUUGGGGUUUUUAAAGGUCCGAUUGUUGACACCACUAAUGUUUGCGAGGAAAUGGGGUGCACUUUCAAAGACUGUUUGUGAAUGGUAAAAAAAAAUGGGGUGCUUGCUAUAAAACCGGUGGAUCUGCUACAGGCUGACAGAUUAUAACGGGAGUUGUAGUCCAACUAUAUCUAAAGGACAUUAUUAUUAUUAUAUUUCUAUAGCGCCAACAAAUUCUGCAGCGCUUUACAAUGGAUGGACUAACAGGCGUGUAGUUGUAACCAGACAAGUUUGAUGCACAGGAACAGAGGGGUUGAGGGCCCUGCUCAAUGAGCUUACAUGCUAGAGGGAGUGGGGUAAAGUGACACAAAAAGGUAAGGGAAGUAUUAGGGAAGUUGAUUGGUAGAAUAGUGUUCACUUUUGACUUAGUGUGUUUUUUUUUUGUUUUGUUUUUUGACAAUUGCAGGAGAUGAAUACGUUGGGAGCCAUUAACAGUUUAGCUGAUAUGCUAUUGUGAAAAAGUGGGUUUUUAAUGAUUUUUUUAAGGAAUGGAGACUGGGUGAAAGUCUAACUAAGAAGGGAAGGGAGUUCCACAGAAAUGGCGCAGCCCUAGAGAAGUCUUGAAGGCGAGCAGAGGUGGAAGUACAAACAGAGGAUAGACGUAGGUCUAUGGCAGAGCGUAGGGGCCUAGAUGGGACAUACUUGAGUAUUAGGGAGGAUACUGUCACAGUUCUCACCGUGAUAUCCAGACAGCCAGACCUGGUUGCCCCAAAAGUGCCCAACAGGGGAUAUGAACCUGGAUCCUUCUGUGUCCUGGGCCUGCUGUUUUGCCUCUGAGCCUCAUUUCUGUUCUUGCUUCAGCCUGAUGUUUAUCUUUGCCUUGUCUCCAGCACUGGGGGCUGGACUUUUCCUGUGGCUGCUCCUAUCAAUCUCGGUCCACCUGAAGCAUAUCGCUAAUUAGCCAGGUAUAAAACACUGCCUCUCUCUUAGGGCAGUGUCACUUCAUUGACUCUGGUUC
rnacentral:lncRNA from 1 species